GAUGAACGCUGGCGGCGUGCCUAAUACAUGCAAGUCGAGCGAACGGACGAGAAGCUUGCUUCUCUGAUGUUAGCGGCGGACGGGUGAGUAACACGUGGAUAACCUACCUAUAAGACUGGGAUAACUUCGGGAAACCGGAGCUAAUACCGGAUAAUAUUUUGAACCGCAUGGUUCAAAAGUGAAAGACGGUCUUGCUGUCACUUCUAGCUGGAUCCGCGCUGCAUUAGCUAGUUGGUAAGGUAACGGCUUACCAAGGCAACGAUGCAUAGCCGACCUGAGAGGGUGAUAGGCCACACUGGAACUGAGACACGGUCCAGACUCCUACGGGAGGCAGCAGUAGGGAAUCUUCCGCAAAGGGCGAAAGCCUGACGGAGCAACGCCGCGUGAGUGAUGAAGGUCUUCGGAUCGUAAAACUCUGUUAUUAGGGAAGAACAUAUGUGUAAGUAACUGUGCACAUCGUGACGGUACCUAAUCAGAAAGCCACGGCUAACUACGUG
rnacentral:rRNA from 1 species